rnacentral:rRNA from 1 species
GACGAACGCUGGCGGCGUGCUUAACACAUGCAAGUCGAACGGAAAGGCCCUGCUUGCAGGGUACUCGAGUGGCGAACGGGUGAGUAACACGUGGGUGAUCUGCCCUGCACUUCGGGAUAAGCCUGGGAAACUGGGUCUAAUACCGGAUAGGAGCCAUUUUUAGUGUGAUGGUUGGAAAGUUUUUUCGGUGUAGGAUGAGCUCGCGGCCUAUCAGCUUGUUGGUGGGGUAAUGGCCUACCAAGGCGGCGACGGGUAGCCGGCCUGAGAGGGUGGACGGCCACAUUGGGACUGAGAUACGGCCCAGACUCCUACGGGAGGCAGCAGUGGGGAAUAUUGCACAAUGGGCGCAAGCCUGAUGUAGCGACGCCGCGUGGGGGAUGACGGCCUUCGGGUUGUAAACUCCUUUCGCUAGGGACGAAGCUUUUUGUGACGGUACCUAGAUAAGAAGCACCGGCUAACUACGUG